rnacentral:rRNA from 1 species
UACGUAGGGGACAAGCGUUGUCCGGAUUUACUGGGCGUAAAGAGCGCGCAGGCGGUCGAUCAAGUCGAGUGUGAAAGCCCCCGGCUCAACUGGGGAGGGUCAUUCGAUACUGAUCGACUCGAAGGCAGGAGAGGGUAGUGGAAUUCCCGGUGUAGUGGUGAAAUGCGUAGAUAUCAGGAAGAACACCCGUGGCGAAGGCGGCUCUCUGGGAAGGUACUGACGCUGAGACGCGAAAGCGUGGGGAGCGAACAGG